GAUGAACGCUGGCGGCGUGCCUAAUACAUGCAAGUCGAGCGAACGGACGCUACGCUUGCUUCUCUGAUGUUAGGCGCGGACGGGUGUGUAACACGUGUAUACCCUACCUAUAAGACUGGUAUAACUUCGGGACACCGUAGCUUAUACCGUAUAAUAUUUUGAACCGCAUUGUUCAAAAGAGAAAGACGGUCUUGCUGUAACUUAUAGAUGGUUCCGGGCUGCAUUAGCUGGUUGGUAAGGUAACGGCUUACCACGGCAACGAUGCAUAGCCGACGUGAGAGGGUGAUCGGCGACACUGGAAGUGAGACGGCGUCCAGGCUCCUACGGGAGGCAGCAGUAGGGAAUGGUCCGCAAUGGGCGGAAGCAUGACGGAGCAACGCCGCGUGAGAGAUGAAGGUCUUCGGAGCGUAAAGCUCUGUUAUGAGGGAAGAACAUAUGUGUAAGUAACUGUGCACAUCGUGACGGUACCUAAUCAGAAAGCCACGGCUAACUACGUG
rnacentral:rRNA from 1 species